GGUACCCACAGAAGAAGUCCCGGCAAACUCCGUGCCAGCAGCCGCGGUAAUACGGAGGGGGCAAGCGUUGUUCGGAAUUAUUGGGCGUAAAGGGCAUGUAGGUGGUUUGGUAAGUUAAAGGUGAAAUGCCAGGGCUUAACCCUGGAGCUGCUUUUAAUACUGCCAGACUGGAGUCCGGGAGAGGAUAGCGGAAUUCCUAGUGUAGAGGUGAAAUUCGUAGAUAUUAGGAGGAACACCAGUGCGAAUUCGGUUAUCUG
rnacentral:rRNA from 1 species